AUACGGAGGAUGCAAGCGUUAUCCGGAUUUAUUGGGUUUAAAGGGAGCGUAGGUGGGAUAUUAAGUCAGCUGUGAAAGUUUGGGGCUCGACCUUAAAAUUGCAGUUGAUACUGGUUUCCUUGAGUACGGUACAGGUGGGCGGAAUUCGUGGUGUAGCGGUGAAAUGCUUAGAUAUCACGAAGAACUCCGAUCGCGAAGGCAGCUCACCGGGCCGGAACUGACACUGAUGCUCGAAAGUGCGGGUAUCAAACAGGAUUAGAUACCCUGGUAGUCCGCACAGUAAACGAUGAAUACUCGCUGUUUGCGAUACACGGUAAGCGGCCAAGCGAAAGCGUUAAGUAUUCCACCUGGGGAGUACGCCGGCAACGGUGAAACUCAAAGGAAUUGACGGGG
rnacentral:rRNA from 1 species